GAGGAAUAUUGCGCAAUGGACGAAAGUCUGACGCAGCCAUGCCGCGUGCAGGAUGAAGGCCCUAUGGGUUGUAAACUGCUUUUGUACGGGAAAAAACCCUUCUACGUGUAGAAGGCUGAUGGUACCGUAAGAAUAAGCACCGGCUAACUCCGUGCCAGCAGCCGCGGUAAUACGGAGGGUGCAAGCGUUAUCCGGAUUUAUUGGGUUUAAAGGGUCCGCAGGCGGACCGUUAAGUCAGUGGUGAAAGCCCACAGCUCAACUGUGGAAUUGCCAUUGAUACUGGCGGUCUUGAGUAUGUAUGAAGUUGGCGGAAUGUGUGGUGUAGCGGUGAAAUGCUUAGAUAUCACACAGAACACCGAUUGCGAAGGCAGCUGGCUAAUACAUAACUGACGCUGAGGGACGAAAGUGUGGGGAUCAAAC
rnacentral:rRNA from 1 species